GUGCCAGCCGCCGCGGUAAUACGUAGGGUGCGAGCGUUGUCCGGAAUUAUUGGGCGUAAAGGGCUCGUAGGCGGUCUGUUGCGUCAGGAGUGAAAACUCGGGGCUUAACCCCGAGCCUGCUUCUGAUACGGGCAGACUAGAGGUAUGCAGGGGAGAACGGAAUUCCUGGUGUAGCGGUGAAAUGCGCAGAUAUCAGGAGGAACACCGGUGGCGAAGGCGGUUCUCUGGGCAUUACCUGACGCUGAGGAGCGAAAGUGUGGGGAGCGAACAGGAUUAGAUACCCCGGUAGUCC
rnacentral:rRNA from 1 species